GAUGAACGCUGGCGGCGUGCCUAAUACAUGCAAGUCGAGCGAACGGACGAAAAGCUUGCUUCUCUGAUGUUAGCGGCGGACGGGUGAGUAACACGUGGAUAACCUACCUAUAAGACUGGGAUAACUUCGGGAAACCGGAGCUAAUACCGGAUAAUAUUUUGAACCGCAUGGUUCAAAAGUGAAAGACGGUCUUGCUGUCACUUAUAGAUGGAUCCGCGCUGCAUUAGCUAGUUGGUAAGGUAACGGCUUACCAAGGCAACGAUGCAUAGCCGACCUGAGAGGGUGAUCGGCCACACUGGAACUGAGACACGGUCCAGACUCCUACGGGAGGCAGCAGUAGGGAAUCUUCCGCAAUGGGCGAAAGCCUGACGGAGCAACGCCGCGUGAGUGAUGAAGGUCUUCGGAUCGUAUAACUCUGUUAUUAGGGAAGAACAUAUGUGUAAGUAACUGUGCACAUCUUGACGGUACCUAAUCAGAAAGCCACGGCUAACUACGUG
rnacentral:rRNA from 1 species